rnacentral:rRNA from 1 species
UACGUAGGGGGCGAGCGUUGUCCGGAUUUAUUGGGCGUAAAGAGCGUGUAGGCGGCCGAGUAAGUCCGGUGUGAAAACUCGAGGCUUAACCUCGAGAUGUCAUCGGAAACUAUUCGGCUAGAGUCCGGAAGAGGAGAGUGGAAUUCCUGGUGUAGCGGUGAAAUGCGCAGAUAUCAGGAAGAACACCUAUGGCGAAAGCAGCUCUCUGGGACGGUACUGACGCUGAGACGCGAAAGCGUGGGGAGCGAACAGG